UGUCAGUAUCAGCUUGUACUGUUUACUACGCAGCUCUAGCAUGUUGAAAAUUUGUCACGGUUUGAAUACCGGUAAACACGUAAUAAGAAGAAGUAUAUAUGGCGAGUGUUAAGAUGUACCAGAUGGUACAGUACACAUAAUUACACGCGGUUUCAUUUGUUUUCUCCCUUGUAUGUCGCAUGUAAACUACGCCGAGCUAUAUUGUUAGUAGAAUGGAUCAGUACUAUAAGUAUUAUGUAUAUUAAAUAGUAAUUUGCGUUACUGUUUAGGGAGCUUAAGUGACAACAUUUACGACAUUGAUGCCCCUUCGACAUUCAUCCGGGGACGUUUCUCAACCAUCAAAGCAGAUGGUGCCAUCGCAGCGUACAGACGUCCAUCAACCGUCAAAGUAUGCACAGUGAGUGCCUUAGGGGAGUUAUUUGCCGCCUGUUCCAGUUUUUACACUUUUCUAAGUCUCUUGACGAGAGAGCCUCCGAGAGUACUUCAGUAAAUACGGCGAAAUCACGGAAGUGAUGGUCAUGAAGGACCCUACAACCAG